rnacentral:rRNA from 1 species
AACGAACGCUGGCGGCAUGCCUAACACAUGCAAGUCGAACGAGACCUUCGGGUCUAGUGGCGCACGGGUGCGUAACGCGUGGGAAUCUGCCCUUGGGUUCGGAAUAACAGUUAGAAAUGACUGCUAAUACCGGAUAAUGUCUUCGGACCAAAGAUUUAUCGCCCAGGGAUGAGCCCGCGUAGGAUUAGCUAGUUGGUGAGGUAAAGGCUCACCAAGGCGACGAUCCUUAGCUGGUCUGAGAGGAUGAUCAGCCACACUGGGACUGAGACACGGCCCAGACUCCUACGGAGGCAGCAGUGGGGAAUAUUGGACAAUGGGCGAAAGCCUGAUCCAGCAAUGCCGCGUGAGUGAUGAAGGCCUUAGGGUUGUAAAGCUCUUUACCCGGGUAUGAUAAUGACAGUACCGGGAGAAUAAGCCCGGCUAACUCCGUGCCAGCAGCCGCGGUAAU